UGCAGAACCAUUAUUCUGUAGUUUUUUAUAUGUUUUCAGAACAAUCAGGUCAAGCACUAUGUAUUAAUUGUAUGACACCCUCAAGUCUCUCAAUGUAUGUGAUAUUUAUGGUUCACUCUUGAGGCAUUAAUGAUGCUAUGCCUCCUAUAGCUAAAGGUAUAUAUAUGGUAGAGCUUAUAGGAGUGCUAAUAACAAGGAUAGGCAUACUUGCAAUGCAUGUAUUGUAAAGUCAACUAAUGGAUCCAUUGAGAAUUGAGGCAUAUAAUAAAACCAAUGUGUGCAUGUGUACGGAAUAUGGUGGAUGGGUGUAUCUGUGGUAUUUGUGGCGAAUUUCUAUUUCUACUUUUGCUCCUCGAGAUAAAUCUCUCCUUUGAUCUUGGAACUUUUCACAGGAAAACAUGAGCUAUCUUUAUUUAUUUAUUUAUUUAUUUUUUUAUUAAGGGAGGCGGCAUCUAGUACCCAUUGUUUUAAUUAGUGGGACACUUGUCCAUCUUUUACUCCAUUUUCUUCUCUUCUUAUCUUUUUUUUCAAUAACUUUCCUUUUGCAUAGCCACAUGCAUCCUUUGAAUACAAUAUGGUAAUUAGAGAGAUAACAAUAAGUACUUAGAGCAAUUAAACAAAGGUUGUCCUAUGGUUUUGGUUUCUAUUGGUGUUUACUCCCAGUGUAGGAGACUAAUGCAUAUGUGAACUGGAGUGUGUACGUGAUCUUGGUCUUAAAAGCAUGACAAGACUCUCAUAAGGUAUACUACAAAGGUUGACUGAACUCAAUGCAAAGCAAGCAGCAUAAAUGUGCAAAAAGUUUUCCUAACUCUAGAUGUAUAUUAUAUAUGGCUUUGGUACGAAUUCAAACUUGUCAUACAAAAGCUCAUCAUGUUGGAUUUCAGGUUUUCAAAAUAAAUCUCCAGAACUUAGUAAUGCUAGGAAUAAGAUAAAUAGCAGCUCAAACUGUCAAUAAUCAUAUCAACCAACUAUCUAGACUUAGCUCAAACUUAUGCCUCCACAAGUUGCAGGUUCAGAGUAAACCUUCAAAUUAAAAUAGUAAUGUCCAAAAAUCGAGAGAAUUUAAUGUUGAAAUCUAGGUACUUGUAAAGAACUAUAACAGAGCAAUUAUACAUCAUCUCCAAGACAAAAAUUUUAAUGUCCAUAAAAUUUUUAUUUAGCUCUAGUUUAACCUGACUCUGAACAGACUCUAACACUUAACUAAUUAUAAACUCACAAAAAGACUAUGACUUGGGGACCUUCAUGUGCCCACAUAUUUUUGGCAUUUUUAUGGUUUUUCUAUGAUACUAUGGUGAACCUUCAUGUGCUCAAAUAUUUUUGGUAUUUUUAUAACUAUGUAGACUCGAAAUCACUUAAGUAUAAUUACCCGAUAACUGGAAGUCUAAAUCAUCGAAGUGGAAUUUUAAAGGUUUAGGAUUGAUAGCUAAGUCUUAGGAAUGAGAUGAUUGUAUUUUAGUUAUCAAGACUUCUAUUUUUAAUUUAGAUAAUAAAUCUGUUUCUUCUUUUGGGGAGUUCAGAAAGAGCCAGAGCAACUCUUUUGAGCAUAAACUCUUGCUUUUAAAAGAUAAGAAAGGACUCUCAAGAAGAUCUAGGGAUUCCAUGUAACUCUUGGUAAGACCCAAUUGUUGAAUAAACAUGGGGCCUAGCAAACCAAUAUCAAGAUUAAUGAUCCCAUGAUAUAUUUGAGAAGGGUUUAUUAUAUUAUGGAGACAUGGGCAUAGCCUAUAGAUAUCAUGAUAAGGUUUAUGCUUUAAAGCUUUUGCACAUGCCAUAAAGAUUGGUGUGGAAUUUAAAUAAAUAUCCAUAAGGAUAAACAUAAAAAUAAUGAAGAGACUAUGAUAAAAUAGGAAAAGAUAAAAGUAUAAUACAAGUUUAAGCUAAACUAAAUCAAAAUCAGCAAACCGUUCCCCGACAACGACACCAAAAAUGUUUGUUGGUAUAAAUUAACUACACUCUAUUAAAUAAUUUUUAAGUAGGAUUAUCCACAAGCGCACAGAUAUCGUACCAGUGUCACAUUUUACCUGGAGAUUUUAAACAUCGUAUCCACAAGGAACAGUUGUGAUAAUGACAAAGUAUGUAGACUUAACCCUACAAUUAGAUUAGAUCAUAUCAAGAAAAAUGAAAUAGCUAAUGCACUCUGGUUCUGACUCUGGUAAACUUUGUCUAAUAUCAUCUUAUCAGGCAAGUAACCCGAAUAGGAAAAGAUACAGAGUAAUCUUCUACCAGGCACCUAUAAGCGUAUCAGUCCUAUCAACGGGAUAUGGACUACAAAGGAAUCAACGCAGCUAUAAAGUCACCAAUGCGAGCUACCACACUCCGGCCGAUCAGGGGACAUCCACAAGUAAAGCUAGCCUAGGCACCAUGCCUACACUACGAAAUACUACUUCAACCUAGGAAUGACCAAGAUCAAAGCACUCAAUAUGGGUUGUGAACCAAAGAACGAUUAAGAACAAGUUGCUUACUUAAAUUAAAAUGGUAAGUACAAAAGAACCUCAGUGCGUAGCUCUGGGCAAGGGAACUGGAUCCAGACGAAUAUAGCCACGAAGAAGCGCCAAUAGGCCAGAACUUCUCCAGAAUCUCUACUCCUCUACUCAAUCUCUCUAAUAUCUAAACAAGACUAGAUCUAUAAGAACUAGUCUCUCUUAAUUUCUACAUCUAGAUGAACUAGAUUUAGAUCAACUAGAGGGACCCUAACCCUAAUUAUGUAGAGAUUACGAAGCUCUGGGGUGUAGAAUGCCUCUUGUGGGAGCCUUGAGCAUCAUUAUAUAGGCCGAGCUGCAGUAGGGGGCAAGGAACCGCCAUGUCUGCGUUCCGCGUCUUCAUUUUGUGUGCACCGUCAGAUCAAACUGACUUAAAAUCAAUGGAGGGAUACUUUGCUUGGCUUCCAAGGAGGCAUGGGAGGAAGACUCCAGAAGGCGGCGGGCAUCGGGCAAAAUAGGGCGCCGACCGGCCCUAGGGUGGGGCCGGCUGGCCCCACCUUGUUUCCUCUGCAUGUCUCAUUCCUUCGGGUGUAUUCUAGACCCUUCCCGAGUCUUCUCCUGAUGUUUUCCGUCGUGGAUGAGUUUCAUGGUAAAUAUGCACUAGAAUCUCUCUUUUCAGCUCUUUGUGAAAUAAACCCUAGAAAAUGCAGAAUAUGCAAAACACGUGGAAAUUGUCAGUUUAAACCCAAGACUAGUGUGUUUUCAUGUUCUCUUUGGGUUUAAAGUUCUAAUAAAAGUUGACGUUAUCGACUGUCAACAAUUCCUCCAAGCUUACCUUUUGCCAGUCCCUUGGCAAACCAAGCCGAAGCAGUAUAUGUAUUUGGAUCAAGAGUUGCUACAAUGUUUUCAUUCUUUCCAAGUACACAUGCUCCUAAACAAAGAUUCUCCUUCGGAUUAGUCAAUAACUGCUCUAAUCUUCAAACUUACCCAUUUUACCCUUAACCAUGGGGCUUUACAGCUUUUGCAUGAGUCUUGAGCAAUCAGAAGACAGAACAAUCAGGUCAAGCACUAUGUCUCAAAUUCUUUACAUAACCAUUAUUUCGGAGUUUUUUAUAUGUUUUCAGAAUAAAACUCAGAGCUUAAUUGUAUGAUACCCUCUAGUCUCUCAAUGUAUGUGAUAUUUAUGGUUCACUCUUGAGGCAUUAAUGAUGCUAUGCCUCCUAUAGCUAAAGGUAUAUAUAUGGUAGAGCUUAUAGGAGGGCAAAUAACAAGGAUAGGCAUACUUGCAAUGCAUGUUUUGUAAAGUCAACUAAUGCAUCCAUAGAGAAUCGAGGCAUAUAAUCAAACCAAGGUGUGCGUGUGUACGGAAUAUGGUGGAUGGGUGUAUCUAUGGUAUUUGUGGCCAAUUUCUAUUUCUACUUUUGUUCCUUGAGAUAAAUCUCUGUUUUGAUCUUGGAACUUUUCGCAGGAAAACAUGGGCUAUCUUUAUUUAUUUUUUAUUUAUUUUAUUUAUUAUAUCUUUUUAUUCAGGGAGGCGGGCAUCUAGUACCCAUUGUUUUAAUUACUAGGACACUUGUCCAUCUUUUACUCCCUUUUCUUCUCUUCUUAUCUUUUUUCAAUAACUUUCCUUUUGCAUAGCCACAUGCAUCCUUUGAAUACAAUAUGGUAAUUGGAGAGAUAACAAUAAGUACUUAGAGCAAUUAACCUAUCAUAAUCAACAAAUUGAAUAAUGGUAGAGAUAACCAAAGUUAGCAACAUAGGAUUUUCUAAAUAAGGCCAUUCCCCCAAGCUAGAAUUUUGCAAAAUAAAUGUUAGCUCGAGUGGAUGUAAUUCGAAAUUGCAUAAUGAUAGGUUAGUGAUACUUGGUGCUGCCGUUAUUAAUUCUCUCACUUCAAACCUAAAAUGGUUAGUGACAAGAAUAUUCACAGGAAUAUUUUGACAAUUCUAUUUCUAUGCUAAAGGUGCAGGCUUAAUUCAUUUUUUUAAGAGUGGUUAUUUUAGAACACAAAGUUGUUGUCAGGAAACCUUCUGGUUAUUAUAAUUUGAGUAGGUGAGGUGGUUUCCUCUAGAACAUUAGCCUUUGUGCACCUAUAUAAAGAUUACAACGAGAUCUAUAAUAUUUGUGAUAAACAUAUGCAUCUACUACCACCCUCUUAAUGAUUUUAUGAAUAGGUAGAAUAAAGGGGUUGAGGAUCUCAUGUGUGAUAAUAUUAGAGACUAUUUGAUCUAGGAGAUUUCUCAUAUGAGCAUGGGUCUGAUAGGGUGUUUAAUGAAAUAAUUCACAUACUCGAAAAUAUGAUCUCCCUUUUCAAACUCCAAGGGUGUCUCUUCAUGGUUGUCUAUACGCAAUAAGUUUGCAUCUAUUAUUUCAUGCCUAUGACAUUUAUUAUAUAUUUUAUUUUCUAGUAUUUCCCAUGAAUUGAUGUCUCCAAGAUUGGUCUCUUCUAAAGCUUUUUCUAAACAAGGUUGGGUUAUGUUUAUUAAAGAAAUUGAUUUAAGCUCAACAUUUGAAUUUAGACCAAGUUUAGAUUCUAGUGCCAAAACUUCAUCUUCUUCCAUCCAUUCUUUGACAAUAGCAUAUGUAUUUCUAAUAUGUUCUACACGUUCCUACUAUUGUCGUUGCUCUUCAAGGGCAUUCAUAUAAUCUUCAUGACUCCUAUUCUUAGGAUGUCUUGAUGGAUUUCUAGGGUCAUUAAGAAGUUUAGUAGAAGGAGCAUAACAAGAUUUAUUGGGGGGUCAAGGAUGGGUUUAGAGAUGGGUUCAAAGACAUUUAAUAUGGGCAUAGAAGGGGAGAAGAUAGAAUUUAUUUCUAAGUGGCUUGGCUCUCCUUCUAUGGCAUCACUUGGCAUGCCAUCCUUGCAUUUUUUCCAAUGUCUUUUUUGGAAGAAAAGGAAGCUGAUGAUGGUUUUUCCAAGAUACUCUUCUAAGAAGAUCUGAUAUGCGUUGAUUUAGGAGCAUCUUAGCUAACUAGAAGUCUAAAUCAUUGAAGUGGAAUUUUAAAGGUUUAGGAUUGAUAGCUAAAUCUUAGGAAUGAGAUGAUUGUAUUUUAGUUAUCAAGACUUCUGUUUUUAAUUUACAUAAUAAAUCUGUUUAUUCUUUUAGGGAGUUCAGAAAUAGCCAGAGCAACUAUUUUGAGCAUAAACUCUUGCUUUUAAAAGAUAAGAAAGGACUCUCGAGAAGAUAAAUCUAGGGAUUCCAUGUAACUCUUGGUAAGACCCAAAUGUUGAAUAAACAUGGGGCCUAGCAAACCAAGGUCAGGAUUAAUGAUCCCAUGAUAUAUUUGAGAAGGGUUUAUUAUAUUGUGGAGACAUGGGCAUAGCCUAUAGAUAUCAUGAUAAGGUUUAUGCUUUAAGCUUUUGCACAUGCCAUAAAGAUAGGUGUGGAAUUUAAAUAAAUAUCCAUAAGGAUAAACACAAAAAUAAUGAAGAGACUAUGAUAAAAUAGGAAAAGAUAAAAGUAUAAUACAAGUUUAAGCUAAACUAAAUCAAAAUCAGCAAACCGUUCCCCGGCAACGACACCAAAAAUGCUUGUUGGUAUAAAUUAACUACACUCCAUUAAAUAAGUUUUAAGUAGGAUUAUCCGCAAGCGCACAGAUAUCAUACCAGUGUCACAUUUUACCCAGAGGUUUUAAAUAUUGUAUCCACAGAGAAUAGUUUUGAUAAUGACAAAGUAUAUAGACUUAACCCUACAAUUAGAUUAGAUCAUAUCAAGAAAAAUGAAAUAGCUAAUGCACUCUGGUUCUGAUUCUGGUAAACUUUGUCUAAGAUCAUCUUAUUAGGCAAGUAACCCGAAUAGGAGAAGAAAUAGAGUAAUCCUCUACCAGGCACCUAUAAGCCUAUGAGUCCUAUCAACGGGAUGUGGACUACAAAGGAAUCAACGCAGCUAUAAAGUCACCUACGCGAGCUACCACAGUCUGACCGAUCAGGGGACAUCCACAAGUAAAGCUAGCCUAGGCACCACGCCUACACUACGAAAUACUACUUCAACCAAGUAAUGACCAAGAUCAAAGCACUCAAUAUGGGAGAACGAUUAUGAAUAAGUUGCUUACUUAAAUCGGAAUGGUAAGUACAAAAGAACCAUAGAACACAGCUCUGGGCGAGGGAACUAGCUCCAGACGAAUAUAGCCACGACGAAGCAACAAUAGGCCAAAACUUCUCUAGAAUCUCUACUCCUAUACUCAAUCUCUCUAAUCUCUAAACAAGACUAGAUCUAUAAGAACUAGUCUCUCCUAAUUGCUACAUCUAGAUGAACUAGAUCUAGAUGAACUAGAUCUAGAUAAACUAGAGGGACCCUAACUCUAAUUAUGUAGAGAUUACGAAGCUUCGAGGUGUGGAAUACCUCUUGGGGGAGCCUUGGGCGUCAUUAUAUAGGCCGAGGUGCAGUAGGGGGCAAGGAACCGUCAUGUCAGCUAUCUGCGUCUUCAUUUUGUGUGCACCGUCGGAUCAAACCGACUUAAAAUCGACGGAGGGAUACUUUGCUUGGCUUCCAAGGAGGCAUAGGAGGAAGACUCCAGAAGGUGGCGGGCAUCGGGCAAAAUAGGGCGCUGACCAGCCCUAGGGUGGGGCCGGCCGGCCCCACCUUGUUUCCUCUGCAGGUCUCAUUCCUUCGGGGGUCUUCUAGACCCUUCCUGAGUCUUCUCGUGAUAUUUUCCGUCGCGGAUGAGUUUCAUGGUAAAUAUGCACUAGAAUCCCUCUUUUGAGCUCUUUGUGAAAUAAACCCUAGAAAAUGCAGAAUAUGCAAAACUCGUGGAAAUUGUCAGUUUAAACCCAAGACUAGUGUGUUUUCAUGUUCACCUUCGGGUUUAAAUUUCUAAUAAAAGUUGACGUUGACUGUCAAUAAUUCUCUCAAGCUUACCUUUUGCCAGUCCCUUGGCAAACCAAGCCAAAGUAGUAUAUAUAUUUGGAUCAAGAGUUGCGACAAUGUUUUCAUUCUUUCCAAGUACACAUGCUCCUAAACAAAGAUUCUCCUCCGGAUUAGUCAAUAACUACUAUAAUCUUCAAACUUACCCAUUUUACCCUUAACCAUUGGGCUUUACAGCUUUUGCAUGAGUCUUGAGCAAUCAGAAGACAGAACAAUUAGGUCGAGCACUAUGUCUGAAAUUCUUUGUAGAACCAUUAUUCCAGAGUUUUUUAUAAGUUUUCAGAAUAAAACUCAGAGCUUAAUUGUAUGAUACCCUCAAGUCUCUCAAUGUAUGUGGUAUUUAUGGUUCUCUCUUGAGGCAUUAAUGAUGCUAUGCCUCCUAUAGCUAAAGGUAUAUAUAUGGUAGAGCUUAUAGGAGUGCUAAUAACAAGGAUAGGCAUACUUGCAAUGCAUGUAUUGUAAAGUCAACUAAUGGAUCCAUAGAGAAUCAAGGCAUAUAAUCAAACCAAGGUGUGCAUGUGUAUGGAAUAUGGUGGAUGGGUGUAUCUGUGGUAUUUGUGGCCAAUUUCUAUUUCUACUUUUGUUCCUUGAGAUAAAUCUCUCUUUUGAUCUUGGAACUUUUUGCAGGAAAACAUGGGCUAUCUUUAUUUUUUUUUUUUUGUUUAUUUUAUUUAUUAUAUUUUUUUUAUUCAGGGAGGCGGGCAUCUAGUACCCAUUGUUUUAAUUACUGGGACACUUGUCCAUCUUUUACUCCCUUUUCUUCUCUUCUUAUCUUUUUUUCAACAACUUUCCUUUUGCAUAGCCACAUGCAUCCUUUGAAUACAAUAUGGUAAUUGGAGAGAUAACAAUAAGUACUUAGAGCAAUUAAACAAAGGUUGUCCUAUGGGUUUGGUUUAUGUUGGUGUUCACUCCCAGUGUAGGAGAAUAAUGCAUAUGUGAAUUGGAGUGUGUACGUGAUCUUGGUCUUAAAAGUAUGACAAGACUCUCAUAAGGUAUGCUACAAAGGUUGACUGAACUCAAUACAAAGCAAGCAGCAUAAAUGUGCAAAAAGUUUUCCUAACUGUGGGGGGAUAAACCCCUAUACCCUUACGGCUGGACUUCGGCCAGGAGGCUUGGCCCAUUACGAGACGAGUUCAGGGCUUGAUCCGACAACCCGGAGUUUCGCGCAAGGAAACAAGAUGUAGAGAUCAAGCAGAAUUCUAGUCGGUUAGAAUAGGAAUUGAUAUCGAAUUAUCCAUGGCAAUUGUAACCGACUAGGAUUAGUUUCCAGAUCUGUAACCCUGCCCUCCAGACUAUAUAAGGAGGGGCAAGGGACCCCCCUAGGACACAUCAUAUUCUCUCAACACAAAUCAAUACAACCAGACGCAGGACGUAGGUAUUACGCCAACUCGGCGGCCGAACCUGGAUAAAAAGCUUGUCCGUGUCUUGCGUCACCAUCGAGUUCGUAGUUUGCGCACCGUCUACCGAUAAACUACUACCGUGGGUAUACCCCAAGGUAGACUGCCGACCAGCUUUCGUCGACAGUGGCGCGCCAGGUAGGGGGUGUGCGUG
rnacentral:lncRNA from 1 species